UACGUAGGGUGCGAGCGUUAAUCGGAAUUACUGGGCGUAAAGUGUGCGCAGGCGGCAAAGCAAGUCGAGUGUGAAAGCCCCGGGCUUAACUUGGGAAUUGCGCUCGAAACUACUUUGCUGGAGUGUGGCAGAGGAAGGUGGAAUUCCACGUGUAGCGGUGAAAUGCGUAGAGGAUGUGGAGGAACACCAAUGGCGAAGGCGGGUCUCUGGGCCGUAACU
rnacentral:rRNA from 1 species